rnacentral:rRNA from 1 species
UAAGGAAUAUUGGACAAUGGUCGCAAGACUGAUCCAGCCAUGCCGCGUGCAGGAAGACGGCCCUAUGGGUUGUAAACUGCUUUUGUACCAGAGAAAACCUAUCUACGUGUAGAUAGCUGAUAGUAUGGUAAGAAUAAGCAUCGGCUAACUUCGUGCCAGCAGCCGCGGUAAGACGAAGGAUGCAAGCGUUAUCCGGAUUCAUUGGGUUUAAAGGGUGCGUAGGCGGGCUUGUAAGUCAGUGGUGAAAUCUCUCAGCUUAACUGAGAAACUGCCAUUGAUACUGCAGGCAUAGAGUAUAGAUGACGUUGGCGGAAUAUGACAUGUAGUGGUGAAAUACUUAGAUAUGUCAUAGAACACCGAUUGCGAAGGCAGCUAACGAGACUAUAACUGACGCUGAGGCACGAAAGUGCGGGGAUCAAACA